rnacentral:piRNA from 1 species
UAGAGUCACGCCAAGAUAUUUUAUAU